UACGUAGGGCGCAAGCGUUGUCCGGAAUUAUUGGGCGUAAAGAGCUCGUAGGCGGCCUGUUGCGUCCGCUGUGAAAUCCCGGGGCUUAACCCCGGGCUUGCAUUCGAUACGGGCAGGCUAGAGUUGUAGGGGAGACUGGAAUUCCUGGUGUAGCGGUGGAAAUGCGCAGAUAUUCAGGAGGAACACCGGUGGGCGAAGGCGGGUCUCUGGGCCGAUACUGACGCUGAGGAGCGAAAGCAUGGGGGAGCGAACAGG
rnacentral:rRNA from 1 species